rnacentral:rRNA from 1 species
UACGUAGGUGGCAAGCGUUAUCCGGAUUUAUUGGGUGUAAAGGGCGUGUAGGCGGGAAUGCAAGUCAGAUGUGAAAACUCAGGGCUCAACCCUGAGCCUGCAUUUGAAACUGUGUUUCUUGAGUGCUGGAGAGGCAAUCGGAAUUCCGUGUGUAGCGGUGAAAUGCGUAGAUAUACGGAGGAACACCAGUGGCGAAGGCGGAUUGCUGGACAGUAAUUGACGCUGAGGCGCGAAAGCGUGGGGAGCAAACAGG